UUUAUGGAGAGUUUGAUCCUGGCUCAGGAUGAACGCUGGCGGCGUGCCUAAUACAUGCAAGUCGAGCGAACUGACGAGGAGCUUGCUCCUUUGACGUUAGCGGCGGACGGGUGAGUAACACGUGGGUAACCUACCUAUAAGACUGGAAUAACUCCGGGAAACCGGGGCUAAUGCCGGAUAACAUAUCGAACCGCAUGGUUCGAUAGUGAAAGACGGUUUUGCUGUCACUUAUAGAUGGACCCGCGCCGUAUUAGCUAGUUGGUGAGGUAACGGCUCACCAAGGCGACGAUACGUAGCCGACCUGAGAGGGUGAUCGGCCACACUGGAACUGAGACACGGUCCAGACUCCUACGGGAGGCAGCAGUAGGGAAUCUUCCGCAAUGGGCGAAAGCCUGACGGAGCAACGCCGCGUGAGUGAUGAAGGUCUUCGGAUCGUAAAGCUCUGUUGUUAGGGAAGAACAAAUGUGUAAGUAACUGUGCACAUCUUGACGGUACCUAACCAGAAAGCCACGGCUAACUACGUGCCAGCAGCCGCGGUAAUACGUAGGUGGCAAGCGUUAUCCGGAAUUAUUGGGCGUAAAGCGCGCGUAGGCGGUUUUUUAAGUCUGAUGUGAAAGCCCACGGCUCAACCGUGGAGGGUCAUUGGAAACUGGAAAACUUGAGUGCAGAAGAGGAAAGUGGAAUUCCAUGUGUAGCGGUGAAAUGCGCAGAGAUAUGGAGGAACACCAGUGGCGAAGGCGGCUUUCUGGUCUGUAACUGACGCUGAUGUGCGAAAGCGUGGGGAUCAAACAGGAUUAGAUACCCUGGUAGUCCACGCCGUAAACGAUGAGUGCUAAGUGUUAGGGGGUUUCCGCCCCUUAGUGCUGCAGCUAACGCAUUAAGCACUCCGCCUGGGGAGUACGGUCGCAAGACUGAAACUCAAAGGAAUUGACGGGGACCCGCACAAGCGGUGGAGCAUGUGGUUUAAUUCGAAGCAACGCGAAGAACCUUACCAAAUCUUGACAUCUUUUGACCGCUCUAGAGAUAGAGUUUUCCUCUUCGGAGGACAAAAUGACAGGUGGUGCAUGGUUGUCGUCAGCUCGUGUCGUGAGAUGUUGGGUUAAGUCCCGCAACGAGCGCAACCCUUGAGCUUAGUUGCCAUCAUUAAGUUGGGCACUCUAAGUUGACUGCCGGUGACAAACCGGAGGAAGGUGGGGAUGACGUCAAAUCAUCAUGCCCCUUAUGAUUUGGGCUACACACGUGCUACAAUGGACAAUACAAAGGGCAGC
rnacentral:rRNA from 1 species